AUUGAACGCUGUCGGCAGGCCUAACACAUGCAAGUCGAACGAGUGGCGGACGGGUGAGUAAUGUCUGGGAAACUGCCUGAUGGAGGGGGAUAAUUACUGGAAACGGUAGCUAAUACCUCACACCAUCAGAUGUGCCCAGCUGGAAUUAGCUUUUUGGGGGGGGAACGACUCACCAAGGCGACGAUCCCUUGCUGGUCUGAGAGGAUGACCAGCCACACUGGAACUGAGACACGGUCCAGACUCCUACGAGAGGCAGCAGUGGGGAAUAUUGCAAGAUGGGCGCAAGCCUGAAGACGCCGAGCCGCAUGUAUGAUGAAGGCAUUCGGGUUGUAAAGGACUUUCAGCGGGAAGGCAUUACCCGAAGAAGAAACACCGGCUAACUCCGUGCCAGCAGCCGCGGUAAUAC
rnacentral:rRNA from 1 species